rnacentral:lncRNA from 1 species
UAAUCUUCUGGUAAAAAUUUACAUGCAACUGUUAUUUUUUUAGAUACUUACAACAGUUUAUGUAAGAACAAAAACUUAAAAGGUUAAAAUAUCAUCAAGGGAUAGCUUGCAAAAUAGUUUAUAGUCUCAUAAAACAAAAAAUUAACCUAAAGCUUUGAGAAAAAUAAUAUUUCUAAGAAUUAAUAUGAAACCUGAUUGAUCAACAAAAUAAAGAAAGAUUAAAUAAAAUUGCUGAUCAAAUCUUCAUUGUCAAAGAUGGGCUUGUAAAUAUUACGGACAUGCAACAUAUGACUAACUAUGAUUUUGCUAUCAAAUACUACAGGCCUAGUAAUUCCUGCAGUAUGCCCGAGGAGGUCCCUUUGCCUAACUAGAAUUUCGCAAAUAAAUUGACAAAUCAUGCUAAGACUAAAGCAAUUUCAUGCUAUGUAUCUAAUAAGCAAAGCAACAAACAAAACUCAAGUUGUAGAAUUCAGGAAAAGCUUUUUUAAAAAAAAAAUGGAAGAAUUUAGAAGAGGGCC